rnacentral:rRNA from 1 species
ACUAGAGUAGCACUCGCAUAUCAAUAAGCGGAGGAAAAGAAACUAACAAGGAUUACCCUAGUAACGGCGAGUGAAGCGGGAAGAGCUCAAAUUUGAAAUCUUAAAGGGUUUCCCUUUACGAAUUGUAGUUUAAAGAAGUGUUUUCUGUUGGAGUUUCGGUAAAAGUUCUUUGGAAUAGGACAUCAUAGAGGGUGAGAAUCCCGUAUUUGACCGUUACUUUCCAGCUUUGUGAUACACUUUCAAAGAGUCGGAUUGUUUGGGAAUGCAGUCCAAAAUGGGUGGUAAAUUUCAUCUAAAGCUAAAUAUUGGCGAGAGACCGAUAGCGAACAAGUACCGUGAGGGAAAGAUGAAAAGAACUUUGAAAAGAGAGUUAAACAGUACGUGAAAUUGUCAAAAGGGAAGCGUUUGACACCAGUGUUGUUUAGUUGAAAAUCAAUUAAAUAAUUUGUGAUUUUGAGUAGUAUUGACUUCAUCAGCUUGCUGCUUUCUUUUCAUAAAUUAUUUAAUGCACUUUUCAGUUAACAAGUCAACAUCAAUUUCUUUUGUUGUAAAAGGGUAAGAGGAAGGUGGCUUGCGCUUCGGCUCAAGUGUUUAUAGCCUUUUACCUCUGCAAUCGGAGAGAUUGAGGACUGCAGCGUAGACUCUUCGGGGUUAGAUACGUUUGUGCUAAGUUAUAGCCUUGUAUAGACAACUUGUUGACUAUACUCAGUCAUGUAGCUUACUCGCAGAUAGUAUUUUACCUACGCUUAGGAUGUUGAAGAUAUGCGCGACACG